rnacentral:lncRNA from 15 species
CGUACGUUAGCUGAGCCUUCCACUUUAUUCACUGGGCAUGCCAUAUUGAUUAAGUAAGUAAGUAAGUAAGUAAGUAAGUAAGUAAGUAAGCACACACUGAUGAUCCAGUGUGUAACAUUUAGGAGGAUCUAUUUGCCGAAAUGGAAUAUCAUAUUCAUAGAUGUUUUCAAUAGUUCAUAAUCACCUGAAAAUAAGAAUGUUUUUGUAUCCUUAGAAUGAGCCAUAUUUCUGCAGUAGCCCAGAACACUGGCACUAGAUAUGUUUUUUUUUUCUGCAAGUUACUGUAGUUCCUCCUACAUGGUUGGAAGUGGAGGAUGAGGCUGGUUGGUUGCAAUCUGCAAAUGAUGGCACUAAAUCCUACACACUGAACCUUUAUAGAUCUUGAUUAAAGAGUAACUCAACACCUCCUGAAAAUAUUGUUUAGUGGUUUAACUUUUCACCUGGCUGCAGUUAUGUACAGGUGUACUUCAAGAUCACACAACAUCACUGUUGGGUGUGGUUACUGGUGCAACCAGAGGUGAAACAGCCUUUAAUUCUUAAGAGAUCACAGCAGUUUAGCCUGAUGUUAAGUAAUGACUUAAAGAAAAAACAAAAACCUUUAAAUGUAAGCACAUUAUUGCUUCCAUCAUACGUUUACAGCAAUGUUCCUUGGGCUUUUAUUAAAAAUGUAGACUAUUUUUUAUUUGGCAUCAAUAAGAAGCCUUUGUUUUACUUCUAAAUUCUAAGUAAAUUACGAUUUUGCAGAUGUUUUUUGUUGAACAAAUGUUAUUAAUCUUAUCCUCACUUUUAUCCUCUCUAGAAAAUGUGGCUUUGAGAGGAGUGGCUUUUCAGUCUUCCUUACUAUUGGAAACUGCAGGUCAAGCUAGCAGUGUUAUUGAUGGCCAUCAGUUUUCCACCUGCAGCAUAACUGAAAGCAAACCCGGUCAGUGGGUGACAGUGGAUCUACUGACUCCCUACAAUGUGACUGUGAUCCAGCUUGCCUACACAGAGGACUGCUGCUAUAGUCAGGUCCUAGUGGACAACACAAGCUGUUCAGUUGACUACAGUAGUUCACGAUCUCUGGUGACGGUGGAUUGUGGUGGGAUUGUGGGCCGCUAUGUGACUGUAAUCCAUCCAGACAUACCACCGCCUCUGUGUGAGGUGGAGGUCUACAGCACUUUGGAGAAUACUGAAAACAUAUUUCCUCAGCUGCCUCCACCCAAUGGUAAACAGAUAAUGCAGUUUUAUUAAAUUCUUACAAUGCAGUUCCAAACGGAAAUAAAAGAGUCAGCACAUUUGCAGAUGAUGCUGUCAUUUACAUUUUUAUUUUAAUAAGGCAAUAGUUCUAAAACUCACUGCCAAAGCUAAUGUGGUGGUAAAAGCUGAUUCAGUGCUGACUGAAUUUUCUUAAAUUUCUUUUCUACCAACAGAUCACUGCUUCUCGGCCUCCUGCAGUCUUGACUACAUUCUCAUUCAGAAUGAACCUAAAACCUGGUUUGAAGCCCAGGCCUACUGCAGAGAGAGGUACACUGAUCUGGCCACCAUAAUCAAUAUUAAGGACAUUAAUCGUGUCAUUGACAAAAUGGAGAAUACCUUCUACGACUUUUGGAUUGGACUGUAUGAAGAUGUCAUAACCUGGAGUUGGUCUCUGCCAGAUGAAGAUUAUUAUGGAGAUGGUGAAGCUGAGUUCAGGAACUGGGAUCUUGGUGAACCCAACAUAGAGCGUGGCAUCCAACACUGUGCUGGCAUACAAGACACCGGUUUAUGGAAAGACCUGGACUGUGACUUACUUAACGACUUCAUAUGCUUUGAUGGUAAUAUGAUAGAAAAUGUUAUUCACAUGCAUUUACACAUGUUCACAAAGUAUCUGUAGUUGAUGAGCUGGAAUAACUAACUUUGCAUGUUUUAUACUAUUAACUACAAAUUGUGAUGAUUAGAAUAUCAUCAACUGAUCUCCAAAGUUCAUUGUUCUUUCCUUCCUGGUAGCUAUUGGUUGCUAUUUAUUUCACUAUGCUAUAAAAAAAAUAUUAUUUUGUGGAACUGUUGAUGUGAGCAGGGAUUAGUUUAUUAAUGCUCACUGUAUGUGCAUUCAACACCACAGUGAUAAGUAGUGAUUCCAACUUUACUAAAGAUUUUUUUAUCCAGUGGGUUUUGUACACCUGUACCUGCCUGCAAUUGUGGUGGUGUGGUAUGUUAUAAACAUGUAAUUCACUUGAAUGAUAGUAAUAAUAACACAAUCCAGACAGUGAUUAAUAAAACAAUGUGGUAAUAUACAAACGCAAUUUCUAAGAAACAGGGUUGACCAGCAAGUGGACAUUUUUAGCUUUCAGUGUCAGAUCUUGACAACUAUUCUAUGGAUUGCUGUGAAAUUUGGCACAGAUGUUUAUGGUUGUCAGAUGAUAAAGCAUAAUGAUUUUGCCAUGAUUUCCCCCCAGCGCCACAAUGAGGUUGACAUUUGUGGGUUUUGAAUGAAAUGUCUCAAUUGGGUGGACUGGUACAGAGUUUGAAACACACAUCCAGUCACUCCAGGCUGUCAACAGCAUGUUAGCAUUGUUAAUUAUAAUUAUUACCACUAAGAACUACUAGUUUUCCAUA